AGACCCUUAGCUCCAGAGCUUCCAAGUCCUUGGGGCAACAGAUUAGAUGAUUCUGUAUGCAUCUUGCAUCCUGUCAGAACGCAGGCAAUGUGUUUUGGGAAAGAGAAAUUUCAAACAGUCAAGACAUCGAGGUAAACAAACAAGCUAUAUUCAGAAUUCAGAGGCUGCCAAGGUUAAACAGCAGCUGUCUCAACAUUUCCAUGAUUUCCACUGGAGACAAUCCCUGUUAAACCCUACUUGGAGCAUAUGCAUCCUUUUGCUGAAACUGCAUCUUAGGUGACACCGUCCAUGCACCAUUCCGGGGAGCUCAGCACAGUGGAUAUGGGAACAGGCACCAGGACCUGGUGAUUCCAGAAGGCUGUGAAGCUUCUGCCUCCAUGUGCUGGCUGGGAGAGCUGCCCCAGCACAACUGCUCUUGCUGGCACUCCUACAAACACUUCCACCAGGCUAGCUCCCCUGGCAUCUCCUGAGUCAGCGUACCAGCUUCUACAAACCUGGGGCUUUGGGAUGAAUUCUCUGUGUUUGCUGUGCUGGGAAUCUGGAUGCUUACCUCUAAAUAUGGCUUCCACAGGGCAUCAGGGAACCUUUGUAUCACGCUGUCUAAAUCUGACUGUUGGAACAUUUCCACUCCUUGGUGGACUCCAGGAUCCUAAAGGACAUAAGUCUGGAUUAUUUUGAAUAUUAGCCUUCAUCUUUUAAGAAAAAAAUCUCUAACAAACCUAGAGCUCUAAUCUAUGACUAAGGGCUGAAGAACGAACGAGCAUGAAUAAUAAUAGUGUCCAUAUAGCAUCCAGUCACACCAUGCUAAGCAGAGUAUAAACAGCCUACCCAAACAAUUUACAGCUUAAGCAGUUUCCUUCUAUCUUACAAAACCUGUCCCUGAACACUGAUU
rnacentral:lncRNA from 1 species